UACGUAGGGUGCGAGCGUUGUCCGGAAUACUGGGCGUAAAGCGUGCGCAGGCGGUGAUGUAAGACAGUUGUGAAAUCCCCGGGCUCAACCUGGGAACUGCAUCUGUGACUGCAUCGCUGGAGUGCGGCAGAGGGGGGAUGGAAUUCCGCGUGUAGCAGUGAAAUGCGUAGAUAUGCGGAGGAACACCGAUGGCGAAGGCAAUCCCCCUGGGCCUGCACUGACGUCAUGCACGAAAGCGUGGGGAGCAAACAGG
rnacentral:rRNA from 1 species